AUAAUACUCCAUAGAUUAGAGACACUGGAAUGUUCUUUAGUCGAAAGUUCUGGCGCCUUAGGAUGGAUCUGCGGUCGAUUAGGUUGUUGUUGGGGUAACGGCCCAACAAGCCUGUAAUCGAUACGGGUUGUGGGAGCAAGAGCCCGGAGAUGGAAUCUGAGACACGAUUCCAGGCCCUACGGGGCGCAGCAGGCGCGAAAACUUUACAAUGCAGGAAACUGUGAUAAGGGAACUCCGAGUGCCCGUAUACGCGGGCUGUCCAGGUGUUUAAAAAUCAUCUGAAGAAAGGGCCGGGCAAGACCGGUGCCAGCCGCCGCGGUAAUACCGGCGGCUCGAGUGGUGGCCACUAUUAUUGGGCUUAAAGCGUCCGUAGCUGGACCGAUAAGUCUCUUGGGAAAUCCGCCGGCUCAACCGGCGGGCGUCUAAGGGAUACUGUUAGUCUAGGGACCGGGAGAGGUGAGAGGUACUCCGGGGGUAGGAGUGAAAUCCUGUAAUCCCCGGGGGACCACCGAUGGCGAAGGCAUCUCACCAGAACGGCUCCGACAGUGAGGGACGAAAGCUGGGGGAGCGAACCGGAUUAGAUACCCGGGUAGUCCCAGCCCGUAAACUAUGCGCGUUAGGUGU
rnacentral:rRNA from 1 species